rnacentral:rRNA from 1 species
UACAACAUGCAAGUCGAGCGAGAAAAGGGGAGCAAUCCCCUGAGUACAGCGGCGCACGGGUGAGUAACACGUGGGUAAUCUGCCCUAGAGUGGGGAAUAACACCGGGAAACCGGUGCUAAUACCGCAUACGAUAGCGGGAUCUGCGGAUUUCGUUAUGAAAGGAGCAAUUCGCUCUUGGAGGAGCCCGCGGCUGAUUAGCUAGUUGGUGAGGUAAUGGCUCACCAAGGCUUCGAUCAGUAGCCGGUCUGAGAGGACGGUCGGCCACACUGGAACUGAGACACGGUCCAGACUCCUACGGGAGGCAGCAGUGGGGAAUUUUUGGCAAUGGGGGAAACCCUGACCAAGCAACGCCGCGUGGGUGAUGAAGUCUCUUGGGACGUAAAUCCUUUCGACGGGGAAGAAAUCCGCAAGGUUUGACGGUACCCGUACAAGAAGCCCCGGCUAACUCCGUGCCAGCAGCCGCGGUAAUACGGGGGGGGCAUGCGUUGUUCGGAAUUACUGGGCGUAAAGGGCGCGUAGGCGGUGCGCUAAGUCGGAUGUGAAAACUCUGGG